GCUGAGGUGGCGUAAUUGGCAGCCGCGCAGGUCUUAGAAGCCUGUGCCGAAAGGCGUGCGAGUUCGAGUCUCGCCCUCAGCACCA
rnacentral:tRNA from 1 species